rnacentral:rRNA from 1 species
UACAGAGGUCGCAAGCGUUGUUCGGAUUCACUGGGCGUACAGGGUGCGUAGGCGGUUUGAUAAGUCUGAUGUGAAAUCCCGCAGCUUAACUGCGGAACUGCCUUGGAGACUAUUUGACUAGAGGAAUGUAGGGGAGACUGGAAUACUUGGUGUAGCAGUGAAAUGCGUAGAUAUCAAGUGGAACAACAGUGGCGAAGGCGAGUCUCUGGACAUUUCCUGACGCUGAGGCACGAAAGCCAGGGGAGCAAACGGG